rnacentral:tRNA from 1 species
CCGCCACUAGCUCAGUAGGAAGAGCCGAUAGCUAUUUAAGUCGUAGGUGCGAGGUUCGAGACCUCGGUGGCGGAUCA